rnacentral:rRNA from 1 species
GUGGGGAAUAUUGGACAAUGGGCGAAAGCCUGAUCCAGCCAUGCCGCGUGUGUGAAGAAGGCCUUCGGGUUGUAAAGCACUUUAAGCAGGGAGGAAAGGGUGUUGGCUAAUAUCCAGCAUCAUUGACGUUACCUGCAGAAUAAGCACCGGCUAACUUCGUGCCAGCAGCCGCGGUAAUACGAAGGGUGCAAGCGUUAAUCGGAAUUACUGGGCGUAAAGCGCGCGUAGGCGGUUUGGUAAGUGUGAUGUGAAAUCCCCGGGCUCAACCUGGGAACUGCCUCCAAAACUGCAUGACUAGAGUACGGUAGAGGGUAGUGGAAUUUCCUGUGUAGCGGUGAAAUGCGUAGAUAUAGGAAGGAACACCAGUGGCGAAGGCGACUACCUGGACUGAUACUGACACUGAGGUGCGAAAGCGUGGGGAGCAAACAGGAUUAGAUACCCGAGUAGUCC